AACGAACGCUGGCGGCGUGCCUAACACAUGCAAGUCGUGCGAGAAAGUUCCUUCGGGAGCGAGUAAAGCGGCGCACGGGUGAGUAACACGUAGGUAACCUGCCCCCCAGUCUGGAACAACUAGAGGAAACUCUAGCUAAUGCCGGAUAAGACCACGGCCCCCUCGGGGGCUGCGGCCAAAGAUGGCCUCUACUUGUACGCUAUCGCUGAGGGAUGGGCCUGCGGCCAUUAGCUUGUUGGUGAGGUAACGGCUCACCAAGGCUGUGAUGGCUAGCUGGUCUGAGAGGAUGACCAGCCACACUGGGACUGAGACACGGCCCAGACUCCUACGGAGGCAGCAGUGGGGAAUAUUGCGCAAUGGGCGAAAGCCUGACGCAGCGACGCCGCGUGGGUGAUGAAGGCC
rnacentral:rRNA from 1 species